rnacentral:rRNA from 1 species
GACGAACGCUGGCGGCGUGCUUAACACAUGCAAGUCGAACGGUAAGGCCCUUCGGGGUGCACGAGUGGCGAACGGGUGAGUAACACGUGGGUGAUCUGCCCUGCACUUCGGGAUAAGCCUGGGAAACUGGGUCUAAUACCGGAUAGGACCACUGCCUGCAUGGGUGGUGGGGGAAAGCUUUUGCGGUGUGGGGUGGGCCCGCGGCCUAUCAGCUUGUUGGUGGGGUGAUGGCCUACCAAGGCGACGACGGGUAGCCGGCCUGAGAGGGUGACCGGCCACACUGGGACUGAGAUACGGCCCAGACUCCUACGGGAGGCAGCAGUGGGGAAUAUUGCACAAUGGGCGCAAGCCUGAUGCAGCGACGCCGCGUGAGGGAUGACGGCCUUCGGGUUGUAAACCUCUUUCAGCACCGACGAAGCGCAAGUGACGGUAGGUGCAGAAGAAGGACCGGCCAACUACGUGCCAGCCGCCGCCGUAA